UUUAUGGAGAGUUUGAUCCUGGCUCAGGACGAACGCUGGCGGCGUGCUUAACACAUGCAAGUCGAACGGUGACGGAGGAGCUUGCUCUUCCUGAUCAGUGGCGAACGGGUGAGUAACACGUGGGCAACCUGCCCCUGACUUUGGGAUAACGCUUCGAAAGAGGUGCUAAUACCGGAUAUGAGCUCCCUUGGCAUCUGGGGGGCUGGAAAGUUUUUCGGUCAGGGAUGGGCCCGCGGCCUAUCAGCUUGUUGGUGAGGUAAUGGCUCACCAAGGCGACGA
rnacentral:rRNA from 1 species